AUUGAACGCUGGCGGCAGGCUUAACACAUGCAAGUCGAGCGGAGCGAGGGUGCUUGCACCUUAGCUUAGCGGCGGACGGGUGAGUAAUGCUUAGGAAUCUGCCUAUUAGUGGGGGACAACAUUCCGAAAGGAAUGCUAAUACCGCAUACGCCCUACGGGGGAAAGCAGGGGAUCUUCGGACCUUGCGCUAAUAGAUGAGCCUAAGUCGGAUUAGCUAGUUGGUGGGGUAAAGGCCUACCAAGGCGACGAUCUGUAGCGGGUCUGAGAGGAUGAUCCGACACACUGGGACGAGGACACGGCCCAGACUCGUACGGGAGGCAGCAGUGGGGAAUAUUGGACAAGGGGGGGAACCCUGAUCCAGCCAUGCCGCGUGUGUGAAGAAGGCCUUUUGGUUGUAAAGCACUUUAAGCGAGGAGGAGGCUACUAGUAUUAAUACUACUGGAUAGUGGACGUUACUCGCAGAAUAAGCACCGGCUAACUCUGUGCCAGCCGCCGCAGUAAAAC
rnacentral:rRNA from 1 species